CACAAUGUUUUGACUCUUUGUUUUAUUUGAAAUUCUUUUGUGAUUAAUAUUUUUAUUCUUGCUAGAUGAUAAAACAUGAAUAGCAUUUUAUACGUGACUAAUUUUUUUUAAGUUUUUUAUAAAUUUUUAAAAUAAGACGAAUGGUUAAAUAUUGGAUAUGGAAA
rnacentral:pre_miRNA from 1 species